UACGUAGGUGGCAAGCGUUGUCCGGAAUUAUUGGGCGUAAAGCGCGCGCAGGUGGUUUCUUAAGUCUGAUGUGAAAGCCCACGGCUCAACCGUGGAGGGUCAUUGGAAACUGGGGAACUUGAGUGCAGAAGAGGAAAGUGGAAUUCCAAGUGUAGCGGUGAAAUGCGUAGAGAUUUGGAGGAACACCAGUGGCGAAGGCAACUUUCUGGUCUGUAACUGACACUGAGGCGCGAAAGCGUGGGGAGCAAACAGGG
rnacentral:rRNA from 1 species